rnacentral:rRNA from 1 species
GGAGAGUUUGAUCCUGGCUCAGGAUGAACGCUGGCGGCGUGGAUAAGGCAUGCAAGUCAAACGGCCCAGCCCCUCUUUUGGUCUUAAGAAGAAUAUGUUAUCUAGACACUAUGUAUUUUGUCUAUAUUAUUCAACAUUCUGAAACUAAGCAGAUAUAUAUUGGCUAUACAGAUAAUCUGGAGCGCAGAUUAUCCGAGCACAAUAAUCGAAGUAAUAAAGCUACUAAUCGAGUAAAUGGCGAAUGGUCUUUGAGAUAUGCAGAAAUAUAUCUCGAUAGACAAAAUGCACUAGAUCGUGAACGAAAACUUAAGUACCAUGGCAGUGCAAAGCAGAAGUUGUUACUAAGAUUAGAAAAAAGUUUACUAUGAGGUCAAAAGUGGGGCUGGGACAGUGGCGAACGAGUUAGUAAUACCUUGGAACGUACUCCGAAGACGGGGAUAACUAGUCGAAAGAUUAGCUAAUACCCGAUAGUUCUCGUAAGAGUAAAGACGCAAGUCACUUCGGAAGCGGCCUAGGUCCUAUCAGUUUGUUGGCGGGGUAAAAGCCCACCAAGACUAUGACGGGUAGGGGGUGUGAGAGCACGGCCCCCAACGAUGAAACUGCGAUACGGUUCAUACACCUACGGGUGGCUGCAGUCGAGAAUAUUCGACAAUGGGCGAAAGCCUGAUCGAGCGACGCCGCGUGCGGGAAGAAGUCCUUCGGGAUGUAAACCGCUUUUGCCAUGGAAAAAUUUUGAUUGUACAUGGAGAAUAAGGGGUUGCUAACCUCGUGAUCCCAUUAGGGAUGGCGCGAGGCAUGAGAGUAAUCUCAUGAGAAAUAAUACUUGGCUUAUAUGCUGGGACACCUAUGAAGCUGCGUCUGUUUUUACAGAUUUUUCAUAGGCAAUCAGCAGGGAAGCUGGUAUAAUGAGAGUAUGGAGCUGGAUAAAAAGCUACAAAAUAUCACUAUUGGGCUACUUCUUGGUGAUGGAUGUUUUGAAAAGAAAAAAGAUACCAUUGGCAUUAGGUUGCAAAUAAAACAGCAAUCAAAAGCUAGGGAAUAUGUUGAAUGGCUUUAUAGUCAAUUCAAGGGUUAUUGUCUCUCUGAAGUUAAAUUUAGAGAAGAUUAUAAACAAUAUUACUUUAGUACAAGGUAUUUAAGAGAAUUUCAAAAUCUAUACAGUCUUUUCUAUAAGAAUGGACGGAAAAUCAUCCCAUCUAAUAUUAAAGAUUUGUUAAAAUCACCACUAAGUCUAGCGAUAUGGUAUAUGGAUGAUGGUUCGUUGGACUAUAGGCCCAACGACCAUUAUGCUUUUUAUCUUGCAAGCAAUUGUUUUUCGGUAGAAGAAUCCAAAAAACUUCAAAAAGUUUUAUUUGAUAAUUUUGGAAUAAAAUCUAACGUAUAUAACAAUUUGUGUAGAGGAAAACGAUAUCCGAGAAUUUAUAUUGGAUCAGAAGGCAGAAAUAAGUUCUGUCAGACGGUUCAACCAAAUAUUCUCGACUGUUUUUCUUAUAAAUUACCUCAUCAUACUUAGCCCCUCAGAGACUUGAUUCUUAACGAAUCAGAUAGCGAUUUUUUAGUUGCUAUAAGACGCCGAGCUCCUACAAUUUUUGUAGGAUGAUGAUAUAGUCCAAAAUAAUUUUAAUUAUUUGGCCAGCAGCAGCGGUAAUACGAGGACCCCAAGCGUUAUCCGGAAUCACUGGGCGUAAAGCGCGGGUAGUUGGUUUUAUUAGUCUGAUGUUAAAUUCCGAGGCUCAACUUCGGAACCGCAUCGGAAACGGUAAGACUAGAGCGGGUUAGAGGCAAGCGGAACGUGCGGUGUAGGGGUGAAAUCCAUUGAUAUUGCACGGAACACCAAAAGCGAAGGCAGCUUGCUAGGGCUCUGCUGACAAUCAGCCGCGAAAGUGUGGGCAUAAAAAAGGAUUAGAUACCCUUGUAUUCCACACCCUAAACUAUGCAGACUAGCCAUUGGGAGCAUCGACCCUUCCGGUGGCGAAGCUAACGCGUUAAGUCUGCCGC